UGGGGAAUAUUGCACAAUGGGCGAAAGCCUGAUGCAGCAACGCCGCGUGAAGGAAGAAGGCCUUCGGGUCGUAAACUUCUGUCCUUGGGGAAGAAGAACUGACGGUACCCAAGGAGGAAGCCCCGGCUAACUACGUGCCAGCAGCCGCGGUAAUACGUAGGGGGCAAGCGUUAUCCGGAAUUAUUGGGCGUAAAGAGUACGUAGGUGGCAACCUAAGCGCAGGGUUUAAGGCAAAUGGCUUAACCAUUGUUCGCCCUGCGAACUGGGAUGCUUGAGUGCAGGAGAGGAAAGCGGAAUUCCUAGUGUAGCGGUGAAAUGCGUAGAUAUUAGGAGGAACACCAGUGGCGAAGGCGGCUUUCUGGACUGUAACUGACACUGAGGUACGAAAGCGUGGGGAGCAAACAGGAUUAGAUACCC
rnacentral:rRNA from 1 species